CCCUGUCCACCCUGUGGGCUCCUGUUGCUGUCCCCAAUGAAGAUCGUGCCCGGUAGGUGGGGCAAUCCUUUGAAAGUCUUUGUGGAGAACCCAGCUGGGCUGGGGCCACAGUGCCUGGGGCUAGAGGUGAGAGGCUGUGUACUCCCCCCCACAGCCUGCUUCCCAGCCAUCACCCAGCCUCUCCCUCUGCCCUGUCUGAGGCCCUACAUGGGGGCUUGAGGCUUGUGAGGAGUCCACAUGUCUUUGAGCCUGGUGGGGUCAGCUGCAGACCUGGGGUGGGCUGCUAGGACUGGAGCGUUGGCAUUCAUACGCCCUUGGUGUCUGGCCGUGUCCCCAGGGGACACCACUGAAAGAAGAAUGGGGGCUCAGCACUCCUUCUGUGGGGGCAAGGGGCCAGACUGGGCUUCCUUUGGGAGGGAGGACCCAGAUUGAGGCUGCGCAGGCUAGGCUGGGGGGCUGCGGCUUGGCAGCCGCAUCCUACAGGCCCCUCCUCCUGGCGGGUGUGGCCGUGGGUAGGCAGGGGUUAAGGCUCCAGCUAACCUUGAGCGUCGGCAGCACGGAGUAGGGACAGCUGAGCUGGGCCCUGUGGGGAGCGGCCAAGAGCCACUGGAGGGAGGAGGGCGGGCCCAGGCUGGGCUGGAGCACAGUGUGUGCAGCGGACCGGAUGGUCUCCUGGCUGCUGGAUAGUGCUGUAGGGCGGUCCCUGCAGGCGAGGCAGCCUGCGGGCGCUGGGCUCUAGUCCUUGGGGCAUCCCGUCCUCGCCCUUCGCAGUGGGAGGCGCUGUCAGGCUUCACAGCAGCCAGUCGCUGGUGCACUGAGGCGGCUCUGCCUGUUCCUUGUGGCAGCCAUGGAGCCGACAGGCAGCCUGUUUCCCUCCUUGGUAGUCGUGGGCCACGUAGUCACCCUGGCUGCUGUGUGGCACUGGCGCAGGGGGCGUCGGCAGGUGCAGGAUGAGCAAGGUAAGCGCCCUUGCCUCAGCCGCUGCCAUCCGCCACCACUCUACCAUGGGGAUGCUAGUAGGGUUGGGGGCGGAGGGUCCACCUCCCUCCCACCCCGCCUCUUCCGUCUCUGAGUGAAACACGAGUGUUUUGUGAAAGUGUGUCUGCUGCCCUGCUUCCCUGGGUGUGGCAGGGGCGGAGCAUUGCAGAGUCUGACCUGGGCAGGUAGGUGGAAGGAGAAGCUGCGGUGAGACCCAGGGGGUAGGCUUUGGGAGCAGCAGUGCCUGCCUCUUCAAGGAAGCCCCCUCCUCAGCGGGGACAUGAACACAGAAUCCACAGUGGCAGGUGCACUGGGCUGUUCUGGGCGGGACCACGGUGGGGGUGGCCCUGCACAGUGGCCUCCCCUGCCCACAGAGUGUAGGGUUUAGCUGCACAGAGGAGCGGCAGGUGCCUAGUGCCUACAGCCAGGGUCAAGGCCCAGAACCAGCUUUGUGACUUUGCGACAGA
rnacentral:lncRNA from 1 species